CAGGAUUGUGAUGAUAAGAUAUCCUAUUAUGAUUUGAUAGAUUGUGAGAUAACACAGCGUAAUCUUCCUG
rnacentral:sRNA from 1 species